AUUGAACGCUGGCGGCAGGCCUAACACAUGCAAGUCGAGCGGAUGAAGGGAGCUUGCUCCUGGAUUCAGCGGCGGACGGGUGAGUAAUGCCUAGGAAUCUGCCUGGUAGUGGGGGAUAACGUCCGGAAACGGGCGCUAAUACCGCAUACGUCCUGUGGGAGAAAGUGGGGGAUCUUCGGACCUCACGCUGUCAGAUGAGCCUAGGUCGGAUUAGCUAGUUGGUGGGGUAAAGGCCUCCCAAGGCGACGAUCCGUAACUGGUCUGAGAGGAUGAUCAGUCACACUGGAAGGGAGACACGGUCAAGAGGACUGAGGGAGGCAGCAGUGGGGAAUAGUGGACAAGGGGGGAAAGCAUGAUCCAGCGAGGGCGCGUGUGUGAAGAAGGUCUUGGGAGUGGGAAGAACGUGAAGUGGGGGGGAAGGGCAGUAAGUUAAUACCUUGCGGGUGUGACGUUAACAGGAGAAGAAGCACCGGCUAACUUCGUG
rnacentral:rRNA from 1 species